CGAAUGGAGCAAUCCUAGUAGAGCGGCGCACGGGUGCGUAACACGUGGAUAAUCUGCCUGGGUGUCUGGGAUAACCAGUCGAAAGAUUGGCUAAUACCGGAUAAGCCCCCGGGAGCUUCGGCUCCUGAGGGAAAAGGUGGCCUCUGUAUACAAGCUAUCACAUCCAGAUGAGUCCGCGGCCCAUCAGCUAGUUGGCGGGGUAAUGGCCCACCAAGGCAACGACGGGUAGCUGGUCUGAGAGGACGAUCAGCCACACUGGAACUGAGACACGGUCCAGACUCCUACGGGAGGCAGCAGUGGGGAAUUUUGCGCAAUGGGCGAAAGCCUGACGCAGCAACGCCGCGUGUGUGAUGAAGGUCUUCGGAUUGUAAAGCACUUUCGACCGGGACGAAAACCCGUUGGCUAACAUCCAACGGCUUGACGGUACCGGGAGAAGAAGCACCGGCUAACUCUGUGCCAGCAGCCGCGGUAAUACAGAGGGUGCAAGCGUUGUUCGGAAUUAUUGGGCGUAAAGCGCGUGUAGGCGGCUUUGCAAGUCGGGUGUGAAAGCCCUCAGCUCAACUGAGGAAGUGCGCCCGAAACUGCAGAGCUUGAGUGCCGGAGAGGGUGGCGGAAUUCCCCAAAUAUAGGUGAAAUUCGUAGAUAUGGGGAGGAACACCGGUGGCAAAUGCGGCCACCUGGACGGUAACUGACGCUGAGACGCGAAAGCUUGGGGA
rnacentral:rRNA from 1 species